rnacentral:rRNA from 1 species
CCUACGGGUGGCAGCAGUGAGGAAUAUUGGUCAAUGGACGCGAGCCUGAACCAGCCAAGUCGCGUGAAGGAUGACUGCCCUAUGGGUUGUAAACUUCUUUUGUAAAUGAUUAAAGUGAAGCACGUGUGCCUUUUUGUAUGUACUUUAUGAAUAAGGAUCGGCUAACUCCGUGCCAGCAGCCGCGGUAAUACGGAGGAUCCUAGCGUUAUCCGGAUUUAUUGGGUUUAAAGGGUGCGUAGAUGGGUUGUUAAGUCAGUUGUGAAAGUUUGGGGCUCAAGCGGAAAAUUGCAAUUGAUACUGGUAGUCUUGAGUACAGUUGAGGUAGGCGGAAUGUGUGGUGUAGCGGUGAAAUGCAUAGAUAUCACGAAGAACUCCGAUUGCGAAGGCAGCUUACUAAUCUGACACUGACAUUGAUGCACGAAAGUGUGGGUAGCAAACAGGAUUAGAUACCCGAGUAGUC